AUUGAACGCUGGCGGAAUGCUUUACACAUGCAAGUCGAACGGCAGCACGGGGGCAACCCUGGUGGCGAGUGGCGAACGGGUGAGUAAUACAUCUGAACGUGCCCGGUCGUGGGGGAUAACGUAGCGAAAGUUACGCUAAUACCGCAUACGAUCUGAGGAUGAAAGCGGGGGACCUUCGGGCCUCGCGCGAUCGGAGCGGCCGAUGUCAGAUUAGGUAGUUGGUGGGGUAAAGGCCUACCAAGCCGACGAUCUGUAGCUGGUCUGAGAGGACGACCAGCCACACUGGGACUGAGACACGGCCCAGACUCCUACGGGAGGCAGCAGUGGGGAAUUUUGGACAAUGGGCGCAAGCCUGAUCCAGCCAUUCCGCGUGCAGGACGAAGGCCUUCGGGUUGUAAACUGCUUUUGUAUGGAACGAAAAGGCUCUGGCUAAUACCUGGGGCUCAUGACGGUACCGUAAGAAUAAGCACCGGCUAACUACGUG
rnacentral:rRNA from 1 species